rnacentral:rRNA from 1 species
UACGUAGGUGGCUAGCGUUGUCCGGAUUUACUGGGCGUAAAGAGCGCGCAGGCGGUCGUUCAAGUCGAGUGUGAAAGCCCCCCGGCUCAACUGGGGAGGGUCACUCGAUACUGAUCGACUCGAAGGCAGGAGAGGGAAGCGGAAUUCCCGGUGUAGUGGUGAAAUGCGUAGAUAUCGGGAAGGAACACCAGUGGCGAAGGCGGCCUGCUG